rnacentral:rRNA from 1 species
UGGGGAAUCUUGCACAAUGGGGGAAACCCUGAUGCAGCGACGCCGCGUGAACGAUGAAGCCCUUCGGGGUGUAAAGUUCUUUCGACAGGAACGAUAAUGACGGUACCUGGAGAAGAAGCUGCGGCUAACUACGUGCCAGCAGCCGCGGUAAUACGUAGGCAGCGAGCGUUGUUCGGAGUUACUGGGCGUAAAGAGUGCGUAGGCGGCGAGCCAAGUUGGGUGUGAAAUCUCCCGGCUUAACCGGGAGGGUGCGCCGAAAACUGGUUGGCUGGAGUAUGGGAGAGGAUAGCGGAAUUCCCGGUGUAGCGGUGAAAUGCGUAGAUAUCAGGAGGAACACCUGCGGUGUAGACAGCUUUCUGGACCAAAACUGACGCUGAGGCACGAAAGCGUG